UACGUAGGGAGCAAGCGUUGUCCGGAAUCAUUGGGCGUAAAGCGCGCGUAGGUGGCCCCAUAAGUCCGCUGUGAAAGUCAAAGGCUCAACCUUUGAAAGCCGGUGGAUACUGUGGGACUAGAGUACGGAAGAGGCGAGUGGAAUUCCUGGUGUAGCGGUGGAAUGCGCAGAUAUCAGGAGGAACACCAAUAGCGAAGGCAGCUCGCUGGGACGUUACUGACGCUGAGGCGCGAAAGCGUGGGGAGCGAACAGG
rnacentral:rRNA from 1 species